rnacentral:rRNA from 1 species
GACAGAGGGUGCAAACGUUGCUCGGAAUCACUGGGCGUAAAGGGCGUGUAGGCGGGAAGGAAAGUCAGACGUGAAAUCCCUCGGCUUAACCGGGGAACUGCGUCUGAUACUGGAUGGCUUGAAUCCGGGAGAGGGAUGCGGAAUUCCAGGUGUAGCGGUGAAAUGCGUAGAUAUCUGGAGGAACACCGGUGGCGAAGGCGGCAUCCUGGACCGGCAUUGACGCUGAGGAGCGAAAGCCAGGGGAGCAAACGGG